ACCUAUUGCUGCUCGUUAGCUAUCGGCAGCCAUAGUAUAAAUACAGUGUCUGUCUGUCAGAUCUAUGAUACAAUGUAUGUUUACGUAGUCUGCCCACGAGAUUACCCAGUCAUGGAUCAUCUUUCAUUAUUGUUGCGAAAAAAACAGAACACUCAAAACAUGAGCACAAUGGCAGCUCUUCCUUUAAAGAACUCCAGGCCUCAAGAGGGCAGAUAACCCAAAAACACRGGUGGAACUAAAAAAUUGAGCCAGGAUUUCUGGAAGGACUACUUUUACAUGCGCACCUGGCAGAUAAGCAUGGGUAUAAAAUGUUUGGGCUUAGCUUUGCUUGGGUCCUCGACAUACAAACAGCUAAUUGUUCAACACUAAAGACGCAACUGAAUGCAUGGGGGAUAAAGAGGUUUGGUGGCACCUCUGAACACUUUUUUGGAGAACAUUGUCCGGCGCUGAAGUGGUUAUCAACCUAUUCCUAAUUCCUCUGUCAUUCAACUACUCUAUUCAACAAAUCAACUGUUUCAACAUAUUCAACAAAUGGCAUCAAAACCAUAAUAAAACACUAAAAAGGAA